GUAUAGUUUAACUGGUAAAUUAAAGUCAAGGUAAGAAUUCUUUGAUUCUCUGGGGGACGAUAAGACCCUGGAAGCUUAAAAAAAAUAAAAAUUUUUAGAUAAUGUACUAUAUUUUUACUGGGGCGGUACUAGUACUUUAACUACUAGUUUGUAAAGGCUGAUCCUUAAUAUAAAGAUAAUUCGGUGAAGUUACUCUAGGGAUAACAGUGCGGUAUUUUUGGAAAGGUCUUAUUAAUAAAAAUGUUCGCAACCUCGAUGUUGAAUUAAGAGGUCUAUAUGAAGAAGUAGGCAUAGCAGAGGGUUUGUUCAACCUUUAUACUCUUACAUG
rnacentral:rRNA from 1 species